rnacentral:rRNA from 1 species
UGGGGAAUAUUGCACAAUGGAGGGAACUCUGAUGCAGCGACGCCGCGUGAACGAAGAAGGCUUUCGCGUCGUAAAGUUCUUUUAUAUGGGAAGAUAAUGACGGUACCAUAAGAAAAAGCCCCGGCUAACUACGUGCCAGCAGCCGCGGUAUACGUAGGGGGCUAGCGUUGUCCGGAAUCACUGGGCGUAAAGGGUUCGCAGGCGGAAAUGCAAGUCAGGUGUAAAAGGCAGUAGCUUAACUACUGUAAGCAUUUGAAACUGCAUAUCUUGAGAAGAGUAGAGGUAAGUGGAAUUUUUAGUGUAGCGGUGAAAUGCGUAGAUAUUAAAAAGAAUACCGGUGGCGAAGGCGGCUUACUGGGCUCAUUCUGACGCUGAGGAACGAAAGCGUGGGUAGCAAACAGG